rnacentral:rRNA from 1 species
GAUAACGCUGGCGGCGCACAUAAGACAUGCAAGUCGAACGGACCUAACCAUUAGUUUACUAUUGGAGCGGUUAGUGGCGGACUGGUGAGUAACACGUAAGCAACCUGCCUAUCAGAGGGGAACAACAGUUAGAAAUGACUGCUAAUACCGCAUAUGCCUAAGUACCACAUGGUACAAUAGGGAAAGGAGCAAUCCGCUGAUAGAUGGGCUUGCGUCUGAUUAGUUAGUUGGUAGGGUAACGGCCUACCAAGACGAUGAUCAGUAGCUGGACUGAGAGGUUGAACGGCCACAUUGGGACUGAGAUACGGCCCAG